GAUGAACGCUGGCGGCGUGCCUAACACAUGCAAGUCGAACGGAAAGGCGCCGCUAAUGCGGGGUGGUCGAGGGGCGAACGGGUGAGUAACACGUGAGUAACCUACACGUGAGUUUGGGAUAACUUCAGGAAACUGGGGAGAAUAAAGGAUAGGAGCACAUGGUGCAUGGUGGGGGUGGGAAAGGUUCGGCGGUUGGGGAAGGACUCGCGGCUGAUCAGCUUGGGGGUGGGGUAGUGGCUUACCAAGGCUUUGACGGGUAGCCGGCCUGAGAGGGUGGCCGGCCACGCUGGGUCUGGGAUGCGGCCCAGACUCCUCCGGGAGGCAGCGGUGGAGAAUAUUGCACUGUGGGCGGAGGCCUGAUGCAGCGACGCCGCGUGCGGGAUGACGGCCUUCGUGUUGUUAACCACUUUCGCCUGUGACGAGGAGUGAGUGACGGUAACGGGUAAAGAAGCACCGGCUAACUACGUG
rnacentral:rRNA from 1 species